ensembl:lncRNA novel transcript
GAAAAACCGGAAGUGGGUGGUUUGAAACGGAAAUAUGUUGGGGACGGAACAACUGCUUCCUUUGAAUCUCUUCGGGUGCUAAUCAAAUGGCCGCUGUAAGGGAUCUCCACAAAGCCACGAAGAAGCCAGGCCUUUCCGAGACUGUAACCGCUGUGCAGAUAGCGCCGAUCCCUGGGUGGCCGCUCUCUCGUUCUGCGCGUGCGCUCGUUCUGGGCUGGGAGCGGAUGGGUGCUGAGGCGUGUGACGUCUCUAGUAGUGUCGUAACUGGGUGUGCUGCCUUUUCCAGGUGUACUGAGGUCUUCGUGAGAUUCAGGGCUAGGACUCGUGUGGCUGUGUCAUGUUCCGAAUGAAGCUUAAAAGGUGAUCUUUGAGAACUGAAGACUUGAGACCCCUCCAUGGGCCCAGGGGCUGCCAACACUAAUAAUUUCAGAGACUUAGAAUCUGAGGAGAAUCUCCAAUCUAAGGGGAAACGGAAGAGGGUCAGGAAAGAGAAGGGGCAAGCUUAAGUGACUCAGAAUCCAAGAAGCAAGUCUCAUAGGAGAGCUGCGAUCGAGGUUACCAUACAGUAUCCAAUCGUCUCAACCUUCCCAUCCAUACUUCCAUGCUGUCUUUCCUCUGAAUGCAAGGAAAACCGGUUACACAAACGCUGACAAAAGAAUGUCAGACUUGAAUGGAAAUUCGGAGCAGUACCCAUCUGGUCCAUACAGCGAACUCCCAGUGAGCACCACGGCAAUGUAACUAAUUCAUGUUUCCCUCUUGGCAGUGCGGGAAAGGCAGCAAAGAGCCAAGUUUUGUAUCUUAACAGUUCUUUAGUUAAGAGGCACACGCUAUUUUGCAUUCUUCCCUACUUUUGAUAAUUUUUGGCUGCACUAGUAAUGCAUGAGUAUCUGCUCAUUUAAAAAACUCAAACUUUUUCAGUGAAAAGUAUGCCCUUUUCUUCAGAAAGUCUUAAUUAAAAAAAAAAAAAAAAUCAUUGCCCAGACCAACAUUUUCAA